rnacentral:rRNA from 1 species
GUAGCAAUACCAGUGGCGCACGGGUGCGUAACGCGUAUGCAAUCUACCUUUCACUGGGGAAUAACCUUGGGAAACCAAGGCUAAUACCGCAUAAGACAAUACUCUGGCAUCAGGAAGUUGUUAAAGAUUUAUCGGUGAAAGAUGAGCAUGCGUCUGAUUAGCUAGUUGGUGAGGUAACGGCUCACCAAGGCGACGAUCAGUCGGGGUUCUGAGAGGAAGAUCCCCCACACUGGCACUGAGAUACGGGCCAGACUCCUACGGGAGGCAGCAGUAGGGAAUAUUGGGCAAUGGUCGCAAGACUGACCCAGCCAUGCCGCGUGCAGGACGAAGGCCCUCUGGGUUGUAAACUGCUUUUGCAGGUGAAGAAAAACAGGUUUGCGAACUUGAUUGACGGUAGCCUGCGAAUCAGCCACGGCUAACUACGUGCCAGCAGCCGCGGUAAUACGUAGGUGGCAAGCGUUGUCCGGAUUUAUUGGGUUUAAAGGGUGCGUAGGCGGGUAACUAAGUCAGGGGUGAAAGACGGCCGCUCAACGGUCGCAGUGCCUUUGAUACUGGUUAUCUUGAGUGCAGACGAGGUCUGUGGAAUGGAUGGGUGUAGCGGUGAAAUGCUUAGAUACCAUCCAGAACACCAAUUGCGAAGGCAGCAGACUAGGGUGCAACUGACGCUGAGGCACGAAAGUGCGGGGAUCAAACAGGAUUAGAUACCCUGGUAGUCCGCACUGUAAACGAUGAUAACUAGCUGUUAGCGAUAGACUGUUAGCGGCACAGCGAAAGCGUUAAGUUAUCCACCUGGGGAGUACGCCGGCNACGGUGAAACUCAAAGGAAUUGAC